CUGGCUUUGUUUCCUCCACGGCCUUCCUCUCUCUCUCUCUCGCCCCCCUUUCUCCCUUUCUUCUCUUACAGGACUAGAAUCAUCUCUCUGAAAUGGCGGCCUCCGCCAUGGUCGUGGACACCAACGCCUCCCUUCGGCCGUCUGGCCCGCCACCGAGCUUCCCGGCUCUGAGCCCCGAUGUCUCCAACUCCGUCGACGAGGAGGAGGACCUGUACGGCCGCCUCAAGUCUCUCCAGCGCCAAAUCGAGUUCGUCGACAUCCAGGAGGAGUACGUCAAGGACGAGCAGAAGAAUCUUAAGCGCGAGCUCCUCCGCGCCCAGGAGGAGGUCAAGCGGAUCCAGUCCGUCCCCCUCGUAAUUGGCCAGUUCAUGGAGAUGGUCGAUCAGAACAACGGCAUCGUCGGCUCCACCACCGGAUCCAACUACUAUGUUCGAAUCUUGAGCACCAUCAACCGCGAGCUUCUCAAGCCCUCUGCCUCCGUCGCCCUCCACCGCCACUCCAACGCCCUCGUUGACGUGCUCCCGCCCGAGGCCGACUCUAGCAUCUCCCUUCUCAGCCAAUCCGAGAAGCCUGACGUCACCUACAACGAUAUUGGGGGUUGUGAUAUUCAGAAGCAGGAAAUUCGUGAAGCUGUCGAGUUACCUCUGACACAUCACGAGUUAUACAAACAAAUUGGUAUAGAUCCUCCAAGAGGAGUGCUUCUCUAUGGCCCUCCUGGUACUGGUAAAACCAUGCUUGCCAAGGCUGUUGCUAAUCAUACAACUGCUGCUUUUAUUAGAGUUGUUGGGUCAGAAUUUGUUCAGAAGUAUUUGGGUGAGGGUCCACGGAUGGUUCGGGAUGUUUUUCGACUUGCUAAAGAGAAUGCCCCUGCAAUCAUAUUUAUUGAUGAGGUUGAUGCUAUUGCUACUGCACGUUUUGAUGCUCAAACUGGAGCUGACAGGGAAGUGCAACGUAUCCUCAUGGAACUCCUGAAUCAGAUGGAUGGGUUCGAUCAAACAGUGAACGUAAAGGUUAUAAUGGCAACUAAUCGAGCUGACACCUUAGAUCCUGCUCUUUUGCGCCCAGGUAGACUUGAUCGGAAAAUUGAAUUUCCUUUGCCUGACAGACGGCAAAAGAGGCUAGUAUUUCAAGUAAGUUUUGCAAAAGGUCUGCACUGCUAAAAUGAAUCUCAGUGAUGAGGUUGACUUGGAAGACUAUGUUUCUCGACCGGAUAAAAUUAGUGCUGCGGAGAUUGCUGCCAUCUGCCAGGAGGCAGGUAUGCAUGCUGUUCGCAAGAAUCGAUAUGUGAUUCUUCCCAAGGACUUUGAGAAAGGCUAUCGGGCCAAUGUAAAGAAACCAGACACUGAUUUUGAUUUCUACAAAUGAGGAGCCAAAUUGUCAAAGGAUACUGGGUUCCUGAUCUGUAAUGGUGUUGAUGCUAUUUAACACUGCAGAAAGGAAUCUCUGUUUUAGGUGCUAGGAGUUUAACAGAUUUCUACUUCUGUAAUCAAAGUUUUUUAUAUAUUACCUGUCCAGGCUGUGGACUUUAUGAUUGUGUGGGAUCUAGAUAUAAUUGGGAAAAAUAGCUUGUCCUCUGGCUUCAAAUUGGCUCCAUGGCCCUUGUUUUCAAAUGAGACAGCAUUUUGGAAUUACCAAGAACUUCAAGGGUGAAGUAGUCGAUUUGUUUGACUUUGAGGGGAAUAACUUGUGCAGUGGGUGUUUACUGAUUAUUUGUCAUUUAAUUAUUGGCUCGAUUGAAGUAUUU